UAAUCUCCGUUCAUUGGCCUUCGUCAA
rnacentral:piRNA from 1 species